rnacentral:misc_RNA from 1 species
CGCACAUUGCGCCCUUUGGUAUUCCUUAGGGCAUGCCUGUUCGAGCGUCAUUUCAAACCUCAAGCCCCGCUUGGUGUUGGGCGUUUGUCCCCUUAUGGGGGACUCGCCUCAAAUACAUUGGCAGCCGGUACGUUGGCUUCGAGCGCAGCAGAAACGCGCCUGGCGUCUGACGGUACCUGGCUCUCCAGGAAGCCUCCAUCUAAGUUUGACCUCGGAUCAGGUAGGGAUACCCGCUGAACUUAA